rnacentral:rRNA from 1 species
GACGAACGCUGGCGGCGUGCCUAACACAUGCAAGUCGAGCGGGGACCGAGGUGCUUGCACCUUGGUUCUAGCGGCGGACGGGUGAGUAACGCGUGAGCAACCUGCCUCAAACUGGGGGAUAACGCAUCGAAAGAUGUGCUAAUACCGCGUAAGACCACGCUACCACAUGGUAGAGGGGUCAAAGGAGCAAUCCGGUUUGAGAUGGGCUCGCGUCUGAUUAGCUAGUUGGCGGGAUAACAGCCCACCAAGGCGACGAUCGGUAGCCGACCUGAGAGGGUGAUCGGCCACAUUGGAACUGAGAUACGGUCCAGACUCCUACGGGAGGCAGCAGUGGGGAAUAUUGCGCAAUGGGGGGCAACCCUGACGCAGCAACGCCGCGUGAAGGAUGAAGGUCUUCGGAUCGUAAACUUUGUCUUAUGGGAAGAACAAGGACGGUACCAUAGGAGAAGCCACGGCUAACUACGUG